rnacentral:Y_RNA from 1 species
GGUCCGUCCGAUGGUAGUGGAUUAUCAGAACUUAUUAACAUUGGUGUCACUAAAGUUGGUAUCCAACCCCCCACUGCUAAAUUUGACUGGCAAAA